AUUGAACGCUGGCGGCAGGCCUAACACAUGCAAGUCGAACGAGUGGCGGACGGGUGAGUAAUGUCUGGGAAACUGCCUGAUGGAGGGGGAUAAAUAAUGGAAACGGUAGCUAAUACCGCAUACCAUCAGAUGUGCCCAGAUGGCAGUAGCUAGUAGGUGGGGUAAUGGCUCACCUAGGCGACGAUCCCUAGCUGGUCUGAGCGGAUGACCGCCCACACUGGAACUGAGACACGUCCCAGAUUCCUACGGGAGGCAGCAGUGGGGAAUAUUGCACAAUGGGCGCAAGCCUUAUGCAGCCAUGCCGCGUGUGUGAAGAAGGCCUUGGGGUUGUAAAGCACUUUCAGCGAGGAGGCGUUACUCGAAGAAGAAGCACCGGCUAACUCCGUGCCAGCAGCCGCGGUAAUUC
rnacentral:rRNA from 1 species